CUUUAAAUAGAAAAGAAAAGAGAAAGAAAAACGAAGAAGCCACACUCAUUGUGUCACUCACUCUCUCUGAAAAACAAACACACAACAAACUCCUUCGAUUCCGUUACAUCUUAUGUUCGAAAAACCCUAGUGAGAAACCCUCACUCAUUUUCAUUCAACCAAUCAUGAACCGCCAAGUACUACCACCGUCACCAAAAAACGCAUCCUCACUCAACCCAAAACUCUGGCGAGCUAUCGCCGGCGCCGCCGUGCAAAUCCCUACCGUCAAUUCUAGGGUUUACUACUUCCCUCAAGGUCACAUGGACCAAGCUACUUCACUUCCGAACAAUCUCUCACCUCUUCUUCUCUCUCGUCCCUACAUUCUCUGCUCUGUCUCCGCCGUUCAUUUCCUCGCCGAUCCGAAAACCGACGAGGUUUUCGCUAAGCUUUUCCUUCAACCGUUGAAUGAUUUCACCGUUAAUUUUCCACGGAUUCCGGUGAUUGAAGCUGACGACGGUGAGAGGAUUUCUUCGUUUGCGAAGAUUCUUACUCCGUCUGAUGCGAACAACGGUGGUGGAUUUUCUGUUCCGAGGUUUUGUGCUGAUUCGAUUUUUCCUCCGUUGGAUUAUAGUAUGGAUCCUCCGUUGCAGAAUCUGUUGAUUACUGAUGUUCAUGGUUUGACUUGGGAGUUUCGUCACAUUUACCGUGGAACGCCGCGCCGGCAUUUGUUGACCACCGGUUGGAGUAAGUUUGUGAACGCUAAGAAGCUUGUUGCUGGUGAUUCGGUUGUUUUUAUGAAGAAUACUAGAGGUGCAAUGUUCAUCGGAAUCCGUCGUGCUGUUCGAUUCGUUCCAAAUCGAACUAGUUCCGGUGUUUGCUCCGAUGUGUCGAGAUUGUGUCUUCCGAUCUGUGGAGUGAGAAGUAGGGUGGAUGAUGAAGAGAAGCUGGUGGAAGAGAAGGCAUUUUCGAGGCACGGGAAGGGGAAGUUGUCUCCGGUGGCAGUUGCGGAGGCGGCGGAAAUGGCGGCUCAGGGGAUGGGGUUUGAAGUGGUGUAUUAUCCGAGAGCAGGGUGGUCGGAUUUUGUGUUGAAAGCGGAGGUUGUGGAUGCGGCGAUGAGUGUUACUUGGUGUCCUGGAAUGAGAAUCAAAAUGGCUGUUGAGACUGAUGAUUCUUCCAGGACUACUUGGUUUCAGGGUGUAGUGUCUCAGGUCUCUGUUCCUGAUCAUGGUGCUUGGAGAGGUUCACCUUGGCGUAUGCUUCAUAUUACAUGGGACGAACCUGAAGUGUUGCAAACUUCCAAGUGGGUCAGCCCUUGGCAGGUGGAACUUCUUUCUACUACACCUUCCCUUCAUACCCCCUUUCCCCCAUUGAAAAGGACUAGAGGGGUAUCUGGGGUGUUAACUGAUGGAGAUGGAGACCCCUUUUCUAUCACAGGGUUCACUAAUUCAACAACGGGACAAUUGAAUCAACCAUUGUUGAGUUACAGUACUUUUCCUGCUGGCAUGCAGGGAGCCAGGCAUGAUCUAUUUUCCGUUUCAAGUUUUUCCAACUUUCCAGGUGAUAACUUCCGUCUUUGUAUGGGUAACUCCUUUGGCAGCAACACAGUGCCGGGGUUGAAAUCUUUUUCAACGGAUCUAAACGUUGGCAGUUCUCAAUCUGGUGAUUUUUCACCAGAGAGCCAGAGUAGUUUGCCUUCCUUUGGCACAGAUUUUGUUCGGAACUACAACUGCAACUCAAUGAAACCCGGGCCUAUAACGUUUCAGCUAUUUGGUGCAGUCAUUCAGACAGAACAGCCUGUUGAAAGUGGUUCACAUGGUACUGUUAGCACAGGAGAUGACAGCAGUAAGGGCUGCAACGAAACUGAAGGCAUUAACAACCCUCUUGAGGAUUCGACUUACUCAAAAUUGCUUGACAGGCUUGAUGGCCAGUGCCAAAUAGCCUCAACAGUUGAGGCGUGCUAUCUGUGAAAUUAGUUGUGACUGUCAUGCACAUAAGUAGCUGUACAGAACUUUAUUGGGGAAGAAAAAAGAUGCAGCUUCUCAUGGCAUGAAGUUCAAUGGAUAAAAAAAAACGGGAAUUUGUGACUCUCCCAUCUGAAGUACUUCUCCACGCAGACAGGACCAUCUUUUGACCUUGCAAUAUGCUGGUUUUUUUAUUGUUUGUCUUAUUGAAACCUGGAACAAUGAAACUAAGUUUGUAAUAUUUGUUAAAGACGUAUGCGAUGUUAAUUUUUGACAUUUUUAAUAUUUCCUAGAGUACAAUGGUUGGUUAGUAACUCAA